GCUUUAUACAAAUAAAUUAUAAUAGCAUAAGCAAUAUAUGUUUAGUUUCCAUUAUUACAUAAAAACUUGUCUGAAUUUUCACCAACCAAUGAAAACCAAGCAUGUUUAAUUUGUAUUUAUACUUGUUUUUAAAGGGCAUCGUUUUCAAUCACGGAUAAAAAUCUGUAAAUUUCCAAAACCAACCGCCACCAUGUAGAGCACCAAAUCCUCUCUUCCCUUCAGUUCCCCAUUUGCCUCUUCUUCGUUUUCUUUCUCCCUCGGCCU
rnacentral:lncRNA from 1 species